AGCCCAACAGUCCGUCUUCAGUGAAGAUAGAAAUGGAGGCCGUAGGGCCCCACAUAGAGUCAGACCCCACCCAGGUUAACCCCUGCAUUAAUAACCAGACCUCUGAGAGAUCAAUCCUUACUCAACAGUCACAUCUGAUCAAAAUGAACUAGACCGCAGCAUCACUCUGCACCUAAAGAUCUCCUGCCCUCCUUCACCCACCCACUCCCAGUCGAGCCUGGCCUCCGGGGAAAACCUGCCUCAGAGGCCACCGCACCAGCCCGUCCCCAAGGUCAGCAUCCAGGUGGAUUCAGACUGCGACCGUGAGGAGUCCUGCUUCUUCUCAACGCAGCAGCAGAUCAGCCUGUUCGCCCCUCCCAACCUGCCGCCACCUCUAACACCGAGGACCUGCUCCAGGAAACAGCACGCCCACUUCAGAGACUCCUGUGCAGAAACUAUACUAUAAACCUGCAGACAUUUACUUUCAACAAAUCCUCACUCUCUUUGUGUAAACUUACGGUCACUUUAUAACAUGUGCCACAUAUAAUACAACAAAACAAUUUCUGCCUUCAUCAGGACUUUUUGUCCACAUGAAUGCUUUAAACCUGUUGCUUCUAAGGUGAACUAAAAACAUGUUUUAAAUGCAUUAAACCUUCCCCAGGACCGCUGACUGUUUUAUGAGUGGUAGUGACUGUAAAAGGUGAAAUACACUAAAUUUA